rnacentral:rRNA from 1 species
GACGAACGCUGGCGGCGUGCUUAACACAUGCAAGUCGAACGGAAAGGCCCUGCUUUUGUGGGGUGCUCGAGUGGCGAACGGGUGAGUAACACGUGAGUAACCUGCCCUUGACUUUGGGAUAACUUCAGGAAACUGGGGCUAAUACCGGAUAGGAGCUCCUGCUGCAUGGUGGGGGUUGGAAAGUUUCGGCGGUUGGGGAUGGACUCGCGGCUUAUCAGCUUGUUGGUGGGGUAGUGGCUUACCAAGGCUUUGACGGGUAGCCGGCCUGAGAGGGUGACCGGCCACAUUGGGACUGAGAGACGGCGCAGACUCGUACGGUAGGCAGCAGUGGGGAAUAUUGCACAAUGGGCGGAAGCCUGAUGCAGCAACGCCGCGUGCGGGAUGACGGCCUUCGGGUUGUAAACCGCUUUCGCCUGUGACGAAGCGGGAGUGACGGUAAUGGGUAAAGAAGCACCGGCUAACUACGUG